GUGCCAGCCGCCGCGGUAACACGUAGGAUCCGAGCGUUAUCCGAAUUUACUGGGCGUAAAGCGCGUGUAGGCGGCUGGGUAAGUUGGACGUGAAAUCUCCCGGCUCAACUGGGAGGGGUCGUUCAAGACUGCCUGGCUAGAGGGCGGUAGAGGGAGGUGGAAUUCCCGGUGUAGUGGUGAAAUGCGUAGAUAUCGGGAGGAACACCAGUGGCGAAAGCGGCCUCCUGGACCGCCCCUGACGCUCAGACGCGAAAGCUAGGGGAGCGAACGGGAUUAGAUACCCCUGUAGUCC
rnacentral:rRNA from 1 species